rnacentral:rRNA from 1 species
GACAGAGGAUGCAAGCGUUGUCCGGAAUUAUUGGGCGUAAAGAGCUCGUAGGCGGUGUGCCGCGUCGGCCGUGAAAACCUGCAGCUUAACUGUGGGCGUGCGGUCGAUACGGGCAUCACUGGAGUUCGGCAGGGGAGACUGGAAUUCCUGGUGUAGCGGUGAAAUGCGCAGAUAUCAGGAGGAACACCGGUGGCGAAGGCGGGUCUCUGGGCCGAUACUGACGCUGAGGAGCGAAAGCGUGGGGAGCGAACAGG